rnacentral:lncRNA from 1 species
CAGAAAAGAAAUCUCUACUAAUUGAAUGGAUUUACAGCACAGCGAGCUCGAUCUCGUCACCCACUGCCUCCAUGUCCUUCACAUCGCCCCCUGCCUUCAGGUCCUUCAUCGCUGCCGAUCUCUAGAUUGCUUUCUCGGUGAUAGUUGAUUUAAUUUACUGAUUGAAUGGAAUGAAAUAAUUGGAUUUAGUGAUUGAGCAGGUCAGCGAUCCUUCCCCAAAGGUUUUGAGGUUUUGGUUGAUGGUUACUGCAGCUAUGAGAUGCUAUGUGAGUUCUUCAAUUAUCUGCAUCUAUGAACAACUAAGUGCACUGGAUGUGGAAUCUGAGCGGAUUGUUCAGAAGGCACUAAAUAGGAUAAUGGUGUAAAGG